AUAUAUAUAUAUAAUUUAUUCUAUCAAGUACAAGUGUAUGGCGCUGUUGUCUGCGAUAUCCAAAUUAUAUGGUUAGGUGACUAAUUUUUUUAAAUUAUA
rnacentral:sRNA from 1 species